rnacentral:rRNA from 1 species
GCAUAACGCGAAGAACCUUACCAAGACUUGACAUCCCCUUGCAAAGCAGUAGAAAUACAUGCAGAGGUUAUCAAGGAGACAGGUGGUGCAUGGUCGUCGUCAGUUCGUGUCGUGAGAUGUAGGGUUAAGUCCCAUAACGAGCGCAACCCUCGUCCUUAUAUAUCUAUAUGAUUUAAGGAGACCGCUUCUGAUAAAGAAGAGGAAGGUGAGGAUGACGUCAGAUCAUUAUGCCCCUUAUGUCUUGGGCUACACACGUACUACAAUGGUUGGUACAAUAGGAGACAAAACUGACAAAGUUGAGCAUAAUCCAUUAAAGCCAAUCUCAGUUCGGAUAGAAGUCUGCAAUUCGACUUCUUGAAGUUGGAAUCGCUAGUAAACAGCAAAUCAGCCUUAUUGCGUUGAAUACGUUCUCGGGUCUUGUACACACCG